rnacentral:rRNA from 1 species
GAUGAACGCUGGCGGCGUGCCUAAUACAUGCAAGUCGAGCGAACAGACGAGGAGCUUGCUCCUCUGACGUUAGCGGCGGACGGGUGAGUAACACGUGGAUAACCUACCUAUAAGACUGGGAUAACUUCGGGAAACCGGAGCUAAUACCGGAUAAUAUAUUUAACCGCAUGGUUCAAUAGUGAAAGACGGUUUUGCUUUCCCUUAUAGAUGUAUCCGCGCCGCAUUAGCUAGUUGGUAAGGUAACGGCUUACCAAGGCGACGAUCCGUAGCCGACCUGAGAGGGUGAUCGGCCACACUGGAACUGAGACACGGUCCAGACUCCUACGGGAGGCAGCAGUAGGGAAUCUUCCGCAAUGGGCGAAAGCCUGACGGAGCAACGCCGCGUGAGUGAUGAAGGUCUUCGGAUCGUAAACCUCUGUUAUUAGGGAAGAACAAAUGUGUAAGUAACUAUGCACGUCUUGACGGUACCUAAUCAGAAAGCCACGGCUAACUACGUG